AGAGUUUGAUCCUGGCUCCAGGACGAACGCUGGCGGCGUGCUUAACACAUGCAAGUCGAACGGAAAGGCCCUUCGGGGUACUCGAGUGGCGAACGGGUGAGUAACACGUGGGUGAUCUGCCCUGCACUCUGGGAUAAGCCUGGGAAACUGGGUCUAAUACCGGAUAGGACCACACACUUCAUGGUGAGUGGUGCAAAGCUUUUGCGGUGUGGGAUGAGCCCGCGGCCUAUCAGCUUGUUGGUGGGGUAAUGGCCCACCGAGGCGACGACGGGUAGCCGGCCUGAGAGGGUGACCGGCCACACUGGGACUGAGAUACGGCCCAGACUCCUACGGGAGGCAGCAGUGGGGAAUAUUGCACAAUGGGCGCAAGCCUGAUGCAGCGACGCCGCGUGAGGGAUGACGGCCUUCGGGUUGUAAACCUCUUUCAGUAGGGACGAAGCGAAAGUGACGGUACCUACAGAAGAAGGACCGGCCAACUACGUGCCAGCAGCCGCGGUAAUACGUAGGGUCCGAGCGUUGUCCGGAAUUACUGGGCGUAAAGAGCUCGUAGGUGGUUUGUCGCGUUGUUCGUGAAAACUCACAGCUUAACUGUGGGCGUGCGGGCGAUACGGGCAGACUAGAGUACUGCAGGGGAGACUGGAAUUCCUGGUGUAGCGGUGGAAUGCGCAGAUAUCAGGAGGAACACCGGUGGCGAAGGCGGGUCUCUGGGCAGUAACUGACGCUGAGGAGCGAAAGCGUGGGUAGCGAACAGGAUUAGAUACCCUGGUAGUCCACGCCGUAAACGGUGGGUACUAGGUGUGGGUUUCCUUCCUUGGGAUCCGUGCCGUAGCUAACGCAUUAAGUACCCCGCCUGGGGAGUACGGUCGCAAGACUAAAACUCAAAGGAAUUGACGGGGGCCCGCACAAGCGGCGGAGCAUGUGGAUUAAUUCGAUGCAACGCGAAGAACCUUACCUGGGUUUGACAUGCACAGGACGUACCUAGAGAUAGGUAUUCCCUUGUGGCCUGUGUGCAGGUGGUGCAUGGCUGUCGUCAGCUCGUGUCGUGAGAUGUUGGGUUAAGUCCCGCAACGAGCGCAACCCUUGUCCUAUGUUGCCAGCGGGUAAUGCCGGGGACUCGUAGGAGACUGCCGGGGUCAACUCGGAGGAAGGUGGGGAUGACGUCAAGUCAUCAUGCCCCUUAUGUCCAGGGCUUCACACAUGCUACAAUGGCCAGUACAGAGGGCUGCGAAGCCGCAAGGUGGAGCGAAUCCCUUAAAGCUGGUCUCAGUUCGGAUUGGGGUCUGCAACUCGACCCCAUGAAGUCGGAGUCGCUAGUAAUCGCAGAUCAGCAACGCUGCGGUGAAUACGUUCCCGGGCCUUGUACACACCGCCCGUCACGUCAUGAAAGUCGGUAACACCCGAAGCCAGUGGCCUAACCUUUUGGAGGGAGCCGUCGAAGGUGGGAUCGG
rnacentral:rRNA from 1 species